CAGGGAGGGGGUUCUGGGACACACCAGAGGUUUACCUACCUACCCGUAUUUCUCCAAAACCACGUGGACAUUUUCUGACUUUUUAAAAAAUGUGAAGUCAAAAAGGAGAGAAGCAAUAUCGCCAAAAAAGCGAAACAAAAAAAAAAAAGCAAAUUUGAACAAGCGUUUGCUUGACUGGUUGGUUUGGCGGCAGCCAAACUCAAUUGUACAUAAAUAAGAAUUGCCCUGUGAUGGCAACAUUUUUUUUUGUACAAGUACAAAAUUUGAUGAAAUUGAGACAGCCCUCAUGUCUGGGGAAACCGAGGAUGGAUCUCUACUGGACCGCGGUUCUCUUAGUGAUUCUGCAGGACGUAUUCUCCGGAGGACGAAGGGAAAACCACGUCUGAGGACGCUGGACGGCGUUGUAGUCAGUUUGGAGUAGGAGCUGGUGGGAAAAAAAUUGCACAAAAAACUCGUUUUGUCUGAAGUAUUGAAAGUACGAAGGUGCGAAGAGAUGAUAUGACGUUCUCUUGCCCACGUCUUUUGUUUUUUUUUUAGGCCAUUACGUGAAGUGUGUUUUUCACUUUAAUGCUUUUUGUUUUGCCAUCUUUUUUAGUUCAGAGCUUUUAACGUACUUUUAUAGAUACUAAUGGUCUUGUCACAUUAAAAGAUUAAAAAUCAGGGCUUAAUUAGGGAGAUUCAGCCCUUAGCCAUAGAUGACGCAGCACCUUAAAAUGAAUUAAGCUCACCAGCUUAACAAGCUGAAGGCAGCAUUGCAGCUUGGAUGCACAACUUGUUACAGAAAGUUGUCAUUUUUGGCUGUAAAUCAACUAUUUCUCUGGCUAAACGCUUUGGGCUUGACUUGAUCACCCUUUAAGUUCAGAAUGUACAAAAAGUCCUGGAAGCCAGCUUCACAUGACCUUCAAUCAAAAGCUUGUGUGGCUGUGAUUGAAAUGGGUGUUUAUUGCACCAUGAGCUUUUAUGUUAAUUAAUUUUUAAUUUUUUAUGAAGCAUGCCGAUAAAUUGUUCUUAAAGACUGAAUUGCCUGUGACAAGACUUUUAGGUUUGCUUUUUAAAAAUAACAUUCCUUGAGUUUUGCACUAAAUUCAAUGACACAAUCAAAUGUUUUUGCCAACUUGCUAGCUCUCGUAGAUGUAGUGUCAGUAAUUUUUAAAUGUCUUGUGCUGUGUUGCUUAAUUGCUAUCAGCUUAAUAGCAAAAAAAAAAAAAAAAAGAUGUUUCACCAUUUUAGCAUUUGAGUGACACAACCCUAAUACAUAAGGAUUCUGUCGCUAUGAAAUUGUUGAAACUGAGGAGGCCCCCCAUCAUUAAUUUUGGAUUGUUAAAGAAGGACAUUGUUGACUAUGACUUCAGAUCAUUGUAUAGAAUUAGUUCCAAGUCACAGGUCAUCUCUGGCUCGGGAUACGCAACACUACAUGCCGUAAGGAUGGUCUUCACUGACUGCUUAUGAAAUAACGCAUCCCUAGUGCUAUAUACUUGUCAGUACUGUAGCAUAAGGUUACUGGAUCAGUACAGUUAUUCAUUUUUAAACUACUGUUUACAGAAAUGUAAAGAAACACAAGUACUGUACAAACUUGACUUUUUCUCUCAUUUAAGUUUGAUUUCAUUUCAUUUUCGCUUUGGUUGGGCGCAGGCUGUAUCUUGCCAAGUUUCAUUAAAUUCUCAGCCUUUCUCUCCAAAAUGUGAACGACGAUUGUCAGAGGAAUUGACCCGAAGCACAAACCUUUUUAUUGUCCCCGAAAACAUUAACCGUUUCACACACACACACACACACACACACACACACGACUAGCGCUUCUCUUAGUCGCGUGGGCUAGGAUGUAGAUGUGACCGAGUGUAGGAAUGCCACUGAAUUUUUAUGUUAUUUUAUUUUUUUAAAUUGGAUAAGCCACUCUCACUUCACUGCAUUGUGAGGUGAAGUGCUAACUACAGUUGCAAAGUGUGUGUGCGUGUGUGUGUGUAAGUGUGUGCGCGUGUGUGUGUGUGCGUGCGUGCGUGCGCGCGCGCGCGCGUGUGUGUGUAAGCAGAAAUCUUUUCAGAUGCCUGAGACUGGUAGUUGAGCGUUACCUCUUUUCGCCAUGAAUGCUGCAGUUUCUCGAACGUUAAAGGAAGGUUAUUGACCCGUUGCAGGCUAAAAUACGAAAUUAAAAUAUGAGAUAUAUUUUAAUAUAUGCAAAAAUGUGUAUGAAAUAUGAGAAGUGUGCCGAUCACUGUCCCUUUCAGUAAUGUGGUUCUGUUCAUUUUGUAGAAUGGAAAAAAUAUAUUGUUUCCAAUAUAUGCUAGAGGAUGUGCAGAGAAAUACAUUAUAAAAUGGCAGUUAUCCACACAUUUCUAAUGACUCCUGUUGGUGUAUAUUAAAAUAAUAUUCCUCAUAUUUUGAAUGUUUUGAACGUGUAAGUAAGAUUUGGUGAGCGAUUACUAAGAGUGAAAGAAUGUAAACCACUAAUUUUAUUUUUUUUUUUUUUUUAAAUCAGUAUGAACAAUGCACUUGUACAUAAGCCAUACAUGUUGUUGUAAUAAUAAACUCUUUUAUUUAUUCAUCACACAUCAAUAAAAGAACAUCCCUCA